rnacentral:RNase_P_RNA from 1 species
GUAGUUAGCCAGAUGGUUGCAGUAUAGUUGUUAUGACUAUAAUGAGGAAAGUCCGAGCUUCAUAGAACAGGGUGCCAGUUAACUGCUGGUGGAGGCGACUCUAAGGAAAGUGCAACAGAAAUAUACCGCCUAUUUUAUAUAGGUAAGGUUGAAAUGGUGGUGUAAGAGACCACCGAUCGCUUGGUAACAAGCGAUGCCAUGUAAACCCCACCUGAAGCAAGGUUAAAAGAAACAUAUAUGUUGUUCGCAUUGUUUCUUAAAAACACCGCUUGAUUAUGUUGGAGACAGCAUAACUAGAUAGAUGACCAUCAAAUACAGAACUCGGCUUAUAGACUAACUAUACAA